rnacentral:lncRNA from 1 species
AUGCCAAAACUCACCAAGAACUCUCAAAAAUCUCUGCACUUUUUACUCCCCUUUUUCUCUUUUAAAGUGAAGAAUUUUUGCUUCCAAGGCUGAAUUGUAAUCGGAGAACGCACAAGCUCAUCAUCAAUCAUCAAUCAUCAAGGUAAUCAUGCUUAGAAAUCAAGACAUGCUCAUAUAGGAAUGCCUAGCUAUUAAAAUAAACAAGAUUUAGUAAUUUUUCUUUCAUAAACGAGUUG